CUGUGAGCUCGAUGAGUAGGGCGGGACACGUGGUAUCCUGUCUGAAUAUGGGGGGACCAUCCUCCAAGGCUAAAUACUCCUGACUGACCGAUAGUGAACCAGUACCGUGAGGGAAAGGCGAAAAGAACCCCGGCGAGGGGAGUGAAAAAGAACCUGAAACCGUGUACGUACAAGCAGUGGGAGCACGCUUAGGCGUGUGACUGCGUACCUUUUGUAUAAUGGGUCAGCGACUUAUAUUCUGUAGCAAGGUUAACCGAAUAGGGGAGCCGAAGGGAAACCGAGUCUUAACUGGGCGUUAAGUUGCAGGGUAUAGACCCGAAACCCGGUGAUCUAGCCAUGGGCAGGUUGAAGGUUGGGUAACACUAACUGGAGGACCGAACCGACUAAUGUUGAAAAAUUAGCGGAUGACUUGUGGCUGGGGGUGAAAGGCCAAUCAAACCGGGAGAUAGCUGGUUCUCCCCGAAAGCUAUUUAGGUAGCGCCUCGUGAAUUCAUCUCCGGGGGUAGAGCACUGUUUCGGCAAGGGGGUCAUCCCGACUUACCAACCCGAUGCAAACUGCGAAUACCGGAGAAUGUUAUCACGGGAGACACACGGCGGGUGCUAACGUCCGUCGUGAAGAGGGAAACAACCCAGACCGCCAGCUAAGGUCCCAAAGUCAUGGUUAAGUGGGAAAC
rnacentral:rRNA from 1 species